UCCUGGCUCAGAUUGAACGCUGGCGGCAGGCCUAACACAUGCAAGUCGAACGGUAACAGGAAGCAAGCUUGCUNCUUCGCUGACGAGUGGCGGACGGGUGAGUAAUGUCUGGGAAACUGCCUGAUGGAGGGGGAUAACUACUGGAAACGGUAGCUAAUACCGCAUAACGUCGCAAGACCAAAGAGGGGGACCUUCGGGCCUCUUGCCAUCGGAUGUGCCCAGAUGGGAUUAGCUAGUAGGUGGGGUAACGGCUCACCUAGGCGACGAUCCCUAGCUGGUCUGAGAGGAUGACCAGCCACACUGGAACUGAGACACGGUCCAGACUCCUACGGGAGGCAGCAGUGGGGAAUAUUGCACAAUGGGCGCAAGCCUGAUGCAGCCAUGCCGCGUGUAUGAAGAAGGCCUUCGGGUUGUAAAGUACUUUCAGCGGGGAGGAAGGGAGUAAAGUUAAUACCUUUGCUCAUUGACGUUACCCGCAGAAGAAGCACCGGCUAACUCCGUGCCAGCAGCCCGCGG
rnacentral:rRNA from 1 species